rnacentral:lncRNA from 1 species
CUCCGCCGAAAUCCUGCUCAGUCUUUGCUCCGCGACGUGCUCUCAGGCGGUUUGAACCAAAACCGCUGGCUCAGUUCACUGGGUUAAAGGUUAACUUCCCGAUUUUGAAAGUCGGUGAUAUUUUUGAGAUCCGUCCUGGGUUACUGGAUGUUCACUGAGUGCUGAAUGAUGGCGGAGGAAUCUUUUCGAAUCCUGAAGAAAUCACUUACACAAGGUUCCUCCAACCGAGUAAAAAGGGUCCCACACGACACGCGAUUGGGACUGCGAGUCAGACACUCGGCCGCUCGCCAGAGGCGAGCGAACUACAACUCCCAUCAUUCCGCGCGGCGUGCUGCUCCAAUCGUCAGGCACAACUGCGAGGGGCGGGGCCCAUAUAAACCCCUUCCUGUCUCACAAGCGUCCUUUUACCCGGCAGUCGCGCGUCGGUCGUCUUGUCUGUCUUGGGUUCUCUGUCUGCAGUGGUCCACACCCAUCCUCCGCCAUACCCGGCCUCAGCCUGGCUGCCACGGGCGCCGCACCUGCCGGGGCUGCCUCUAGAGGCGGCAAGAUGUUGAGCGCGGCACGGAGGAUCCAGGCCUACUGGCCUAGUCGGGCCGAGAGCCGGAAGGCCACGUGGUUCUCAGGCGCAGUGGAAGAAGCCGGACCCUGUGUGGGCCACGCCCUGCUCCACGCGCAGGCCCUCGCGGCCCUGUGCUGCGGUGUGACGGUUUCCAGAAUGUCCCAGUAGAUGAGUCCUGACACACAGGAUUUAGUUGUGCCAGAAGAUUCCAGGAUGACUGAAGCUAACCUUUCUGGUGAGUGAAGAGGACAUGACAGGGAUGGAACGAAAGCCUCAGGACCCGGUUGCCCCCCGUUUUUUAACUGGCAGUGCCUGACACUGAAGUAACUGAAAAUACCACCUUGUCACUGGAGCCGUCCUUUAGAAUAAGACCUGUUGCCAGUAAAGCUGUCUUCAUCUGUGCGGAUCUACAGAGUUGGGAGAGAACCAAAAAGGCAAAUGAAGAGACCAGGGAUGCAUUCAGGUGGAAAUCGCUGUUUUGUUUUUGGUGAUGCUGCUACUUGGCAUAUAAAUGACCAAUAAAAGAUUCAUGGAUGUAAAAAAAAAAGAAAAAAAAAAAAAAAA